UUCUUUAAGAACAUAAUAUAAAGUAAAGCCUGCUCAAUGAAAAUAAAUAGCCGCAGAAUACCUGUGCUAAGGUAGCAUAAUAAAUUGCUUCCUAAUUAGAAGAUAGUAUGAAAGACUAAACACUUAAAAGACAUUUAUAUAAAUAAAAUAAAAUUUAGAAAAAAGUAAAAACUCUUUUAUAUAAUAAUGGGACGACAAGACCCUGAUAAACUUAACUUUUAGUUGGGGAAACACAAUAAUUAAUAUUUAUUAUUAUAAACAACACAACUUUUAAUAAAAAUAAAGUCUAGUUACUACAGGGAUAACAGCGUUAUUUCUUUUAAGAGCACUUAUCCAAAAAGAAGAUUACGACCUCGAUGUUGAAUUAAUUUACCUAAUUUAAUGCAAUAAUUAAUAAAGGCAGUCUGUUCGACUAAUAAAAAAUU
rnacentral:rRNA from 1 species